ACACCACCAUAACACCACCACAACACACACCUCUCUCCAUUAGAAAAUAAACAUUAGAAAAAUUCUCUCCAUUCUCGAGUCUUCAGAAGCUCUGCGUCUCAACCAAGAAGGAGGAGAAGUCAUGCAGUACAUCAAGAUCCUAUCCGCCAUCCACCCUUGUGUCGUCCCUAGAAGAUUGCUUACUUUCAAGGAUCUUCAAGUUCUUCGUCUCAAGGCCUUGUCAUCCAUCUUUCACGGUGUACCCUCAAUCCCCGGUUAGAACGAUCCCUAUUUACCAUAUACUAACGAUGACAUCUUAUAGGGUUAAAUUAUAUGCUUGCUUUUAGGCGUAUCACCGAUUGCCGUCGAAGCAUGCCGGAGCCGGAGCUUUUCUUCUUUAACUGCUUCGCAGAUCCGGUUAAAAUUUGGAAUUCUAGUGGUCAAAGCUGCUGAGCGCUAGAGGCCUCGACCUCUCCUAUUAUCCUUCAGUGGCGGCGGCGGCGACAACAUGAACAAUUUCUUGACCUUAUGGCAGAUCCGAGCCUCCUUGCUCUUCUCAGGCGAGAAACUUGCCAGAUGAUCUUUUUUUUUUUUUGGGAAUAAUUGGGACUAACAGGUCAUUGAUUUGAUUUGAUUGGGAAUAAUUGACAACACGAACAUGUCCUUGAUUCUUUUAUUUUUGUUUAAGAUUUGUUUUGUUUUGUAUGAGGAUUGGUGAUCUCUUCUUCUUUGGUUGAUGAUGAAUGUUCUUCCUGGUA